AAGAGAGCAGGGAUUCCGACCAGGGAUCCACCAGGAACCAGAGGGCCUGCUGGUGGCAACGGAGCCACCGACCAGGAACGGAGCAGGCAGAGGCUGAUGCGGCAGGGGACCACAAAACAUGAAACACAGGUGACGCAGGUUUAGCCGUGGUUUGCAAGUUGCUGCUCCAAUAUAACAAAAAGCGGCAACUUUCCUUCUGAAAAUAUUUGAAUAGAAUCAGAUUAUUCAACCAACCGAGAUGUCAUCUAGUCUACAUGAAGUAAAUGUAUAAAUACUUAAUC